CACUUUUUAUCAGUGUUACUAAAACACAGAAUUCGACUCUCGUUCUCUAAAACCCAGUCCUCUAACCUCUCUCUCAGCCCCCUACUCCCCCCUUGAUACAAAACUGAAAACCUAGCGACCAGGCCUCGACGCACGCAGAUCUCUGUCCAAAUUCCCGAUCUCGAACUCCUACCCUAGGCUCACCUCCCCAUCGUCUCAGCCUCACCACGCGAACGGCUAUCUUCUCACUCGUGUUUGCCAAGGCGGCUUCUACCCAUGUUUGCAGAGAAAGCCAGCCAUGGUCGCCGAAACACCACCGUCGAAGCUCCAAUCCCAGAUCGAUAUCACUGAGGCGCGUGGAGUAAAUCACUGUUCUCUUAUAAUGCAAAAAGGCACGCACUCGUCAUCCUCUCUCUGUGUCGCCGGUAACGGAAUUCAAAAACACCCUCCUAUUAGUGUAUACAUAUCUCUCUCCGUCCCCAAAUUCUCUUUCUGGUUUUCGAUUCGAUUCGAUUCUUCUGCGCCUUUUCUGGUUCGUGUUCGCUUUUUCGGUGCUGGUCGCUCUCAAAUUCUUAGGUCUGAAUUGAAUUGAUGCUCCUAUCGUUUUGGGUGAUGGAUAAUGUGUUUCUUCGGUUUGGCAUGUAGCUCAUGUUUUGCAAGGUGGAGAUUAAUGCUUUUUCUUUGUUAAAUUAUUAAAUUUUUUGAUGAAAUUCUGGUUCUUGGAGCUGGUUUUCAGUUCAUAUGUGGCUGUUUCUUUUGGGUUGAGAAUAGAGGGUACAAUAUAGGGUAUAGGUACCACCUCCAGGAAAAGGAUCAUUGUAUAGUAGGCAUUUGCUCAUGGGGAGUGGAUCUGAUCUGGGCUUGGGGCCGGGACUGGAGUAUACAUUCCUAAUAUUUGCUUCUCCAGUUGGUAAUUAUCACAAGGGAAGGGCAGCCCUCAAUUUGUAUGUUGAGCAUAAAAUCCACACAGCUAUUCCUCGUGGAACUAGAGGUGUCAAGUCUGUCACCAAUUACUCACCUGU